rnacentral:tRNA from 2 species
GGGCGGUUAGCUCAGAUGGUUAGAGCAUCUCGUUUACACCGAGAGGGUCGGGGGUUCGAGUCCCUCACCGCCCA